rnacentral:tRNA from 1 species
UGUUGUGUGGCUUAGUUGAUUAAAGCGCCGUACUUACGAUACGAAGUCAUGGGUUUGAAUCUCACCAAAAUAA